CAAUCUCAGACACAGAAAUAAUUGUCAAUCACGUGACACAUGUAAUUGCAUAAAUACUACGAGCCCUUCAGAUGAGUUUCCAAACAUCUCAUCCACUAUGAAGGCUGUGUGUCUGCUUCUCCUCGUCUCUGUCCUGCUCGUCGGAGCAGCCUUUGUCGCCGACGCUCAAACAUGCAACGGCGAGUGUAACAACAACAGCGACUGUAACCACUGCCACUCCUGUACCUACCAUUGUAACAAGAGUUCCGGCGCCGUCGUUGGACAUUGUACUUGUUCCUAAACCCCAAGCAGGAUCGUCCACAAUGUUGCUGAUUAUUGAAUAAAAUGGAAAUGGUUUCUGCA